rnacentral:rRNA from 1 species
AACGAACGCUGGCGGCGUGCCUAACACAUGCAAGUCGUGCGAGAAAGUUCCUUCGGGAGCGAGUAAAGCGGCGCACGGGUGAGUAACACGUAGGUAACCUGCCCCCCAGUCUGGAACAACUAGAGGAAACUCUAGCUAAUGCCGGAUGAGACCACGAUCCCUUCGGGGGUUGCGGCCAAAGAUGGCCUCUACUUGUAAGCUAUCGCUGAGGGAUGGGCCUGCGGGCCAUUAGCUUGUUGGUGAGGUAACGGCUCACCAAGGCUGUGAUGGCUAGCUGGUCUGAGAGGAUGACCAGCCACACUGGGACUGAGACACGGCCCAGGACCUCC